CCUACGGGAGGCAGCAGUAGGGAAUUUUCCACAAUGGACGAAAGUCUGAUGGAGCAACGCCGCGUGCAGGAUGAAANCCUUCGGGGCGUAAACUGCUUUUAUAUGUGACGAAUAUGACGGUAGCNUACGAAUAAGGAUCGGCUAACUCCGUGCCAGCAGCCGCGGUAAUAAUCACUA
rnacentral:rRNA from 1 species